UACAGAGGGGCAAGCGUUGUUCGGAAUUACUGGGCGUAAAGGGCGCGUAGGCGGCCUUCUAAGUCGAACGUGAAAUCCCUGGGCUCAACCCAGGAACUGCGUCCGAUACUGGAAGGCUUGAAUCCGGGAGAGGGAUGCGGAAUUCCAGGUGUAGCGGUGAAAUGCGUAGAUAUCUGGAGGAACACCGGUGGCGAAGGCGGCAUCCUGGACCGGUAUUGACGCUGAGGCGCGAAAGCCAGGGAGCAAAGCGGG
rnacentral:rRNA from 1 species